AUUGAACGCUGGCGGCAUGCCUAACACAUGCAAGUCGAACGGAGUGGCGGACGGGUGAGUAAUGCCUAGGAACCUGCCUAGUAGUGGGGGAUAACGUCCGGAAACGGGCGCUAAUACCGCAUACUAUCAGAUCAGCCUAGGUCGGAUUAGCUAGUUGGUGGGGUAACGGCCCACCAAGGCGACGAUCCGUAUCUGGUUUGAGAGGACGAUCAGCCACACUGGAACUGAGACACGGUCCAGACUCCUACGGGAGGCAGCAGUGGGGAAUUUUGGACAAUGGGCGAAAGCCGGAUCAAGCCAUCCCGCGUGUGUGAUGAAGGUCUUCGGGUUGUAAAGCACUUUAGGUUGGGAGGCGUUACCAGCAGAAUAAGCACCGGCUAACUUCGUGCCAGCAGCCGCGGUAAUAC
rnacentral:rRNA from 1 species